rnacentral:rRNA from 1 species
UACGUAGGGUGCGAGCGUUUAAUCGGAAUUACUGGGCGUAAAGCGCGUGUAGGCGGCUAAGUAAGUCGGGCGUGAAAUCCCACGGCUCAACCGUGGAAGUGCACUCGAAACUGCAUAGCUAGAGUCCUGGAGAGGAAGGUGGAAUGCUUGGUGUAGAGGUGAAAUUCGUAGAUAUCAAGCGGAACACCGGUGGCGAAGGCGGCCUUCUGGACAGUGACUGACGCUGAGACGCGAAAGCGUGGGGAGCAAACAGG